rnacentral:rRNA from 1 species
AUUGAACGCUGGCGGCAGGCCUAACACAUGCAAGUCGAGCGGAUGAAGGGAGCUUGCUCCUGGAUUCAGCGGCGGACGGGUGAGUAAUGCCUAGGAAUCUGCCUGGUAGUGGGGGAUAACGUCCGGAAACGGGCGCUAAUACCGCAUACGUCCUGCGGGAGCAAGUGGGGGAUCUUCGGACCUCACGCUAUCAGAUGAGCCUAGGUCGGGGUAGCUAGUUGGUGGGGUAAAGGCCCACCAAGGCGACGAUCCGUAACUGGGCUGAGAGGAUGAUCAGGCACUGUGGAACUGAGACGCGGUCCAGACUCCUAGGGGAGGCCGAAGCGGGGAAUGUUGGACAAUGGGCGAAAGCUUGAACCAGCCAUGGAGGGGGUGUGAAGAAGGGCCUCGGAUGGGAAAGCACUUUAAGUUGGGAGGAAGGGCAGUAAGUUAAAACCUGGCUGUUUGGACGUUACCAACAGAAUAGGCACCGGCUAACUUCGU